rnacentral:lncRNA from 1 species
UUCAUUAUAAAAGUUGAACCCAGGGGGAGGACGAAUUACAAGCAUAUAGGCACUCAUAUAUCAACUAAAAGAAAGACAUAUCAGGGGUUCUGAUACACCCCUAUAAUGCCAUCCAGAUCAGAACUUGAUCAAGGACUUGAGACAUACCUCAGCACCAUCGACAGCCUCAGUAAUGAGAGCUCCAUCCAGGGAAAGAUCCUCAAGGGCAAUAUCUCGCCCCUUGAUUGCCAUUGUAGAUCUUUCUGAAAUGGAGCAGUUUCCACUCACUUUGCUUUUUACUUCCGAGAAAGUCCCCUUGAUUGCCAUUGUAGAUCUUUGUGAAAUGGAGCAGUUUCCACUCACUUUCCUUUUUACUUCCGAGAAAGUAAGCGCCCAUUUCGGCUUCCACACAACUCGAGACCAUACUUCCACCUCCUGUCCGUUAAAGACUUGAAU